rnacentral:rRNA from 1 species
UACGUAGGGGGCAAGCGUUGUCCGGAAUCAUUGGGCGUAAAGAGCGUGUAGGCGGCUCGAUAAGUCUGCUGUGAAAGUCCAGGGCUCAACCCUGGAAGGCCGGUGGAAACUGUCGGGCUAGAGUCCGGAAGAGGCGAGUGGAAUUCCCGGUGUAGCGGUGAAAUGCGCAGAUAUCGGGAGGAACACCAAUGGCGAAGGCAGCUCGCUGGGACGUUACUGACGCUGAGACGCGAAAGCGUGGGGAGCAAACAGG